rnacentral:rRNA from 1 species
CGCGAAUGGCUCAUUACAACAGCUAUAAUUUACUUGAGCUUGACAACCUACUUGGAUAACUGUGGUAAUUCUAGAGCUAAUACAUGCACCAAAGCUCCGACCGUAAGGGAAGAGCGCAUUUAUUAGAACAAAACCAAGCGGCUUCGGCCGUCCAAUGUUGACUCAGAAUAACUAAGCUGAUCGCAUGGUCUUGUACCGGCGACGUGUCUUUCAAGUAUCUGCCUUAUCAACUUUCGAUGGUAGUGUAUCUGACUACCAUGGUGAUGACGGGUAACGGAGGAUAAGGGUUCGACUCCGGAGAAGGGGCCUGAGAAAUGGCCACUACGUCUAAGGAUGGCAGCAGGCGCGCAAAUUACCCACUCUCAGAACGAGGAGGUAGUGACGAGAAAUAACGAGACCGUUCCCUUAAGAGGCCGGUCAUCGGAAUGGGUACAAUUUAAACCCUUUAACGAGGAUCUAUUGGAGGGCAAGUCUGGUGCCAGCAGCCGCGGUAAUUCCAGCU